rnacentral:rRNA from 1 species
CAGCCGCCGCGGUAAUACCGGCGGCCCGAGUGGCGGCCACUAUUAUUGGGCUUAAAGCGUCCGUAGCCGGGUUGGUUAGUCUCCCGGGAAAUCUGGCCGCUUAACGGUCAGAAUUCCGGGAGAUACUGCCAGCCUAGGGACCGGGAGAGGCCGAGGGUAUUCCCAGAGUAGGGGUGAAAUCCUAUAAUCCCGGGAGGACCACCUGUGGCGAAGGCGCUCGGCUGGAACGGGUCCGACGGUGAGGGACGAAGGCCAGGGGAGCAAACCGGAUUAGAUACCCGGGUAGUCCUGGCUGUAAACGAUGCGGACUUUGUGUCGGACAAGCUAUGAGCUUGUCCGGUGCCGGAGGGAAACCGUUUAGUCCGCCGCCUGGGGAGUACGGCCGCAAGGCUGAAACUUAAAGGAAUUGGCGGG